GGAUGCGAUGUUUUAUUUAACAGUACACUCUGCAAAGGUGUAAUAGGCUGGGAUUGCCCGUGUCUU
rnacentral:tRNA from 1 species